GCCUUCCGAAGCACGGAUCAUCUUACUUUUGGACAAUCAGGUGAUCAGCCUGUAAUGUCCUAACCAAACUAGGGAUUACAAAGUGAUUUUUGUGAUAUGUCCCCAUCGGGAU